CAGCCUCGCCCAGCGCGGCAGCUCUCUCUGCUGUGCGUCUCAGUGGAGGCGGGGCGUCGGAUUGACGGCUAGGGCUGGCCAGUCCCUUCCUCACGAACACGCUAGCCCCGCCUCCUGACUGCUUCUUAAGAUCAGCAGUCAUGAACCCACCACCUUCUCCACUAGAGUUUCUGGAAAUCUUGAUGCAGUCUAGUGGUAUUAGUAGUGCCAUUUAGAAGUCUGUGUCCAACUAUCUGACAUAGUCCUUUCAAUGAGUCCCUUUUGUUGGAAAACUCUGGCCUGUGGUAUUUUGCAGUUACCUUCAGGACGUCAUCAAAGUAAAAACUAUCUGUAGGCGCCAAGAUCCAUCUGACAUCAGCGGUGAUAUCACUUAUCCCUCAACUGACAUAGCAUAGUUCAUAAAGAUAAUGUUCUACACCCUAGUUUGGUGAGUAAUGUCUAGGGUCUUGAAAGUUUGUGAGUAGCCACCUAAGAUACAACUAUUGGUCUCUGCUCGUCUGGACUAAAAGAGAAGGAAGGAAACCAAAAGACUCAAAGUCGACAGGACUAGUAGCCCACAUGAACCACAGCCUCUUCUAACCUGAGACCAGAAGAACUAGAUGGUACCUGGCUACCAGUACUGGCCGUUCUGACCAGGGAAACAAUACAAGGUCCCAGACAGAAUGGGAGAUAAAUGUAGAACAUAAUUCAAAUUCCUAAGAAAGACCAGACCUACUGGACCAAUAGAGAUUAGAGGAAUCCCGAGACUACCGCCCUA